GUGCGCUUGACGCCGGUCUGUCACGGCAGUCCGGACAACGCGCCAAUGAAUCUGGUCGAGCCGCUGGGCCACAAGCCCACCGCCAGGCGCAACAAGGAUAUCAGCGGCCGCCGUCGCAAUGAUCCUGCGCAGUUUGCCCAUUGAAGCCCGCGGGCUUCGAUAGACCGACGUGAAUAGCUCGACAUGACC
rnacentral:sRNA from 1 species